ACGGGGUGCAGCAGGCGCGAAACCUCUACAAUGCGCGAAAGCGUGAUAGGGGAACUCCAAGUGCUUGGCUUUGCUAAGCUUUUCUGAAGUGUAAACAACUUCAGGAAUAAGGGCUGGGUAAGACCCGUGCCAGCCGCCGCGGUAAUACGGGCAGCUCGAAUGGUGUUCACGUAUAUUGGGCCUAAAGCGUUCGUAGCCUGUCUCAACAGUCUUUGGUGAAAGCUUGUGACUUAAUCAUGAGAGUUGCCAAAGAUACUAUGAGACUUGGAGCCGGGAUGGGUCAGAGGUAUUCUAGGGGUAGGAGUAAAAUCCUGUAAUCCUUAGAGGACCAACGGUGGCGAAGGCGUCUGACUGGAACGGGCUCGACGGUGAGGAACGAAAGCUAGGGGAGCGACGCGGAUUAGAUACCCGCUUAGUCCUAGCCGUAAAUGAUGCCGGUUUGGUGUAACGUAACUUACGAGGUUGCGUUGUGCCGUAGGGAAGCCGUUAAACCGGCCGCCUGGGAGUAUGCCGCAAGGC
rnacentral:rRNA from 1 species